rnacentral:rRNA from 1 species
UGGGGAAUAUUGCGCAAUGGGCGAAAGCCUGACGCAGCGACGCCGCGUGUGGGAUGAAGGUCUUCGGAUCGUAAACCACUGUCGGGGGGGACGAACUCAAUGACGGUACCCCCAAAGGAAGCACCGGCUAACUCUGUGCCAGCAGCCGCGGUAAUACAGAGGGUGCGAGCGUUGUCCGGAAUCACUGGGCGUAAAGGGCGCGUAGGCGGCCCGAUAAGUAGGGGGUGAAAUCUUGCGGCUUAACCGCAAG